UAGGGAAUCUUCCACAAUGGGCGAAAGCCUGAUGGAGCAACGCCGCGUGUGUGAUGAAGGCUUUAGGGUCGUAAAGCACUGUUGUAUGGGAAGAAAUGCUAGAAUAGGGAAUGAUUCUAGUUCGACGGUACCAUACCAGAAAGGGACGGCUAAAUACGUGCCAGCAGCCGCGGUAAUACGUAUGUCCCGAGCGUUAUCCGGAUUUAUUGGGCGUAAAGCGAGCGCAGACGGUUGAUUAAGUCUGAUGUGAAAGCCCGGAGCUCAACUCCGGAAUGGCAUUGGAAACUGGUUAACUUGAGUGUUGUGGAGGUAAGUGGAACUCCAUGUGUAGCGGUGGAAUGCGUAGAUAUAUGGAAGAACACCAGUGGCGAAGGCGGCUUACUGGACAACAACUGACGUUGAGGCUCGAAAGUGUGGGUAGCAAACAGGAUUAGAUACCCUGGUAGUCCACACCGUAAACGAUGAAUACUAGGUGUUAGGAGGUUUCCGCCUCUUAGUGCCGAAGCUAACGCAUUAAGUAUUCCGCCUGGGGAGUACGACCGCAAGGUUG
rnacentral:rRNA from 1 species